rnacentral:rRNA from 1 species
GAUGAACGCUGGCGGCGUGCCUAAUACAUGCAAGUCGAGCGAACGGACGAGAAGCUUGCUUCUCUGAUGUUAGCGGCGGACGGGUGAGUAACACGUGGAUAACCUACCUAUAAGACUGGGAUAACUUCGGGAAACCGGAGCUAAUACCGGAUAAUAUUUUGAACCGCAUGGUUCAAAAGUGAAAGACGGUCUUGCUGUCUCUUAUAGAUGGAUCCGCGCUGCAUUAGCUAGUUGGUAAGGUAACGGCUUACCAAGGCAACGAUGCAUAGCCGACCUGAGAGGGUGGUCGGCGACACUGGAACGGAGACACGGUCCAGACGCCUACGGGAGGCAGCAGUAGGGAAUCUGCCGCAAUGGGCGAAAGCCUGACGGAGCAACGCCGCGUGAGUGAUGAAGGUCUUCGGAUCGUAAUACUCUGUUAUUAGGGAAGAACAUAUGUGUAAGUAACUGUGCACAUCUUGACGGUACCUAAUCAGAAAGCCACGGCUAACUACGUG